UACGUAGGGUGCGAGCGUUUGUUCGGAAUUACUGGGCGUAAAGGGCGCGUAGGCGGCCUGCUAAGUCGGAUGUGAAAUCCCUCGGCUCAACCGAGGAACUGCAUCCGAUACUGGAUGGCUUGAAUCCGGGAGAGGGAUGCAGAAUUCCAGGUGUAGCGGUGAAAUGCGUAGAUAUCUGGAGGAAUACCGGUGGCGAAGGCGGCAUCCUGGACCGGCAUUGACGCUGAUGGAGCGAAAGCUAGGGGAGCAAACGGG
rnacentral:rRNA from 1 species